CUCACGGAGGACUUGGCUAUAUUUCUGCAGUCACUUACAGGUCCCCAGAGGUGCACACCUGGUAAUGUGCAGCACACAUUUUACAGGGAACAAAGCCAACAGAUGCUGUAGUCAUUUCUCAUAGAAGGACCUCUUCUAGCCAGUAUGGGAACAGAACCCCUCCCAGCAGGACAGAAAUUCUCAUGGUCCUGAUGGAACCAAAGGAGUGAGUACAAGAGGGGGGAGUUCUGACUUCUGUAGCUGUUUCUCCAAUGAAUAUGGGCAUUGGUAGGUCAAUCCAUACCCCCACUCACAUAACGGUUCUUAAGGUUAUUUAUUUAGUCAAAAGCAGAAUUAAAAAUAAUGGUGGUCUGGGAGGUGGCCCAGUGGAUAAAGCACUGGACUCUCAAGCAUGAGAUUGUCAGUUCAA